UUUGGACGAGACGGAUACGAUCGAAGACGUUCAGAAGGUCAAACGAUGUUACAAAGCGAAUAAGGAACGAAUCGAGUAAACGAAGCAGUGUGGCGAAUAGAGUAUAGCCAAAGAUGGUCUAGAGACUAUGAUAUGCAUAGAGUGUGAAAGUGGAAAGAUGAGAUUGAGAUAUGAGACUGGAAUCGGAUUUAAGGCAAGUUUUCCUAAAUCCUUCCUCAUAUAUAUAUUGCAUGUGCUGAUUUUUCUGUCAAGAUUGUGAUAUUGUUUAUACUGAAACCCUUCUCAAAUAAACUCUUACUUCUGAGCAUGAAACCCAUGAUUGUUUUCUUCUUCCAAGUUUUGAAAAUCCAAACACCUAAUUACUCUCAAUAUCUAUUACAAGUAUUCUGAUCCAUUCUUUCCAAUCCUCAAGAUAUUAAAAAUACCAGCUUUACAAAUUAAUUCGAAGUUCAGACCGUCAUUGAAGCAUGUGUUGCUCAGUGAUAGUUAGAACCUAGAAUGAAUUGGGAUCUUCUUGAUUAUUCAACCCGCCAUUGUCAUGCUGGUUUAGCAGGCUAAAUUCAGUUGCUUAGCCGAUAAUGGAGGAUACUGAAUAAUUAGGAAUUUCCUGAACUAUGAUUUAUCAAAGGACGAACUGUGGUUUAUGAAAUGUUGAUUCUCGAAAGUUGAAUUUGAAUAAUUCUGUUGUUGAUAAUGAUUAUAAUUCUAUUCUGUUGAUUGAAUUGUCUAUUGAUUUCAAUUGUUAGAAUUGGAUUAGUUUUUAUAAAAUAUGUGGACCAGAUUCAUGGUCAGACCAGAUUCGUGGUCAAUUAUAGGCCAAUGUGUGCCUUGGAUCCAGUAUAGAGAACAGGGCUGUGUGCCAUGUUCGGGGUUAGUGCGUGACUGAUCAGCAGCCUAACCUUUGGUUUUUAAGUAAAAAUGUGAUGAAUCCAAUUCGACAAUUCUUCUGUAAGUUUGAAAUUCUGAUUUCAAUUGCUGAUAAGAAUUGUGAAGUUUUCAAUUACAUAUCCUGAACUUGUGAACCCUGAUAAAAUAUUUCAGGACUAUUGUUGCUUAUAUACACUUGCUGAGCAUUGUUGCUCACCCUUGCUAUUCCUUUUUAACCAUUUCAGAAAAGCUUAGAGUUGAAUUGAGAUUGCGAGUAUGGCUAAGGCUAAGCGAGGAGUCAGAGUUAUAGAAUAUCCAGAGGACAAGUGGAAUGUUCAGGGAGAUUGACAAGGUUGGUUCUAGAUAGAGUUGUAUUAUUGAGAUUCAGUUGUAAGUCAUAAUUGAGGUAGACUUGCAGUGAUUCUUCUCAUCGAAGAUGAUCUGAGUUUGUAAGAUAAUGUUUAUUAAUAGUGGUUGAUUCUAAUUUCAAUACUGUAACCUGGAUGCGAUCCUGUUUUUAGGGGGUUAAAGUGUUUUCUUUUAAAUCUUUUA
rnacentral:lncRNA from 1 species